rnacentral:lncRNA from 1 species
UUUAUUUAGGCCACCAUUUGUGUGUGUAUGUGUGUGUUUUCGUGAGUGUGUAUGUACAUUGCAGCUAAAUGUAAUUGCUGACAGGUAUUUCUAUGCUUGUUACCCAAGCAGCACACCCCAUAGUUUUUCUUCCUCUCCCUCACUAAACAUAUUCUAAUUCGUGGAUUAUCCUUUGGAAAUAGCCCUAGGCCCUGGAAACAUAAUAUAAAACCAGGACAAGAGUAUCCAUUCUACACUCACAGAUUUGUUAAAAUUAAACAGUUUAACUAUACCAAGUGUGGGUAAGCACAUGUAGAAUGGAAAAUCCUCUUUCGCCUAUGGGAAUAUCAUUUGGAACAACCACUUCAGAGAAUAAUUUGGCAAGAAAUAGUUUGGUUUAAGAUGUUCAAACCUUAUGAGUCCAUAAACCAGCAGUUCUAUUUCCAAAUAUGUAAAAGUCUCAUAUACACGUAUUAGGAGGUAGGUAUGCUCUGUUCCCCACUCUGUUGUUUGUUAGAACAAAAAAUUGGAAUGAACUUCAAUGUUCAUGAACAAGAUAUGGAUGAGUGAUUGUGUAUUCAAUCAACUAAAUUCUCUAGAGCUUAAAAUGAAAAACCUAGAACUACAUGGGUUGUGAUAGGUAAAUCUCAAGAAUAAUGUUGAACAAAAAGAGUCAAAUUGUGGGGUAUAUACAGCCUGAUGCCAUUUAUAUAGUUGGAAAAAGUACAAGUCAAAUUUAUUCAUUAGUAUCCUUCUCUGUUAUACCUGCUGUUUCUGCCCCUAUUUGAUUCUCAUCAUUUUUCACCCAGUACACUGGUAAGAGCUCAGUAAUUUAUCUUUUUUUCAAUUCUCUCCAUCCCAGUUCACUUUAAACACUGCCACCAGUCCAGUGUUCUGCUUAAAAAUUCUUGGGUUUUCUACCACAUAUGAGAUAAUGCAGUCCAGGGGUACCUGGGUGGCUCUGUUGGUUAAGUGUCCAAUUUUUUUUAAUCUCAGCUCAGGUCUUAGUCUCAGAAUUGUGAGUUCAAGCCCCAUGUUGGGCUCCAAGCUGGGUGUGGAGCCGACUUAGGAAAAAAAAAAAAGAUAAUGAAGACCAAAAUUCUAGUAUGAUAUUUAAAAUUGUUUCUAGAAUCAUCUCCCUUCAAAUAUUCCCUGUCCUAUAGGUUCCUGUCAUCCAGCAGGUCCUUGGAGUUCCUGUGUCUAUAGCAGUUUCUCUGACUAGAAUGACUCUCUCCUCUUUCCUCAUUCCUUUCCACUUGGUGGAAGCCCAAAUAGAAGUUUUCAAGGCCCAGAUCCAGAGUCAUCCUUUGGCUAGAAUACUUCCACCUUCUUGCUCCUAGACAAAAUUGAUGUUUUACUCUGCUGUCUGACUUUCUUCUUGCUGGUGGUGUAAGAGCUUGGCAUGUUGUAUUGCAGUUUGAUCUUGUUAAGAGGGAGAUAUUUGUCUUCUGCAUUUUGAGGUCCCUAGAGUCCUUUUGCAUAUUUAGCCUGCAGUCUGUGAUGAUUGAAGGUUGUAUCAAAAGAAUGUAGUGGGUUUUUUGUUUUUUGUUUUGUAAAUUGUGAGAGGAAGAGUUAGCCCUAAAUAGUCUAUAUUCAGUGUCUCAGCUUCCUUUGGAAAAUUCACACAUUUUCUAACACACCGGGCUUCAGGAGGAAGGCCUUUUCAAGUUCAUAUUUUACUAGAACUGGUAGCCUGAGGCCCAUUCAUUAUAAAGUUGAUUGACAUUGCUUUUUAGGGGAGUGAUAAAAAGGAUUGUAUUGGAGUUAUAAAAGUUAACUUUUCAACCAGAAGAAACCUAAGAAUGAAUUAAGUGGUGAUUUAAAAAAAAAAGAUUCCCUCUUUGAGAAUGUAUGUGCUUUUGUUGUUGUUGUUGUUUUGGGAUUUCUUUUUCUGGGCAUACUGGGAUAUAUAAUUAUACAAAAAUAAGAUCCUCUUCUAAUGACUGUUUUAUAACUUCUUUAAACUUAGUCUUUUUGGAAUAUUUGUCCAUGUCAAUGAAUAGAGCUUCAUCAUCAUUCUUUUUAAAUACAGACAUAAAUUAUAUUCUAAAUUGCAUAAAUGUUAAGUGUACAGCAUAACCAUCACCCAGAUCAAGAUAGAGAACAUGUACUAGUACUGCAAAAGGCUCCAUUUUAGUUCCUUUGUGGUGAUGGAACAGUUCUGUCUUAGUUGUGGUGGGUACCCGAAAAUAUAUGUGAUAAAAUUUUGUAGAACUAUAUACAAUGCACGUACAUGCACACAAAAUGAGUGCAUGUAAAAGCUGGUGAAAUCAGAAUAGACUCUAGUCUAGCUAAUUGUAUUGUGCCAAUGGUAAUUUCCUGAUUUUGGCUAAUUACAUGUAAGAUAGUACCAUUGGUGGGAGCUAGGUGAAGGACACACUGAACACUCUACACUGUUUUGGCAACUUCUUGUGAUUCCAUAAUUAUUUUUUUUAAGUUAAUAAAAAUCUUCAUGCCUGUUUUAUUAUUUUACUGGAAGUCUUAUAGGUUACUGUAUAGAUAUAUAAUAGCUUAUAUAACCAAUUCUCUAUUCAUUUUCUGGAGUUUUUACUCAUAAACAGCUUUAUGCUUGUAUACAAUGCAAGCAACCAUGUAUGUAUUCUUCAAGGUGUCUUAUCUUAAAAAAGAAAAAGCUACUACAGGGUUCUUGAAAUCAUUUUUCAAUGACUACAUGCAAUUUUCAAGAUCACGCAUUACAUAAAGUGAGACAAACCUGUGCGGUGGGGAAAAUCAACUCUCCCAGGAAGAAGGCAUUUCAGCAAAAUUGUAAUUUAUGGCUUUUCCAUCUGCCUGAAGCCCAAGGAAUAGAAGAUCUAAAUGAAAGUGCAGCCUAACUGAAACAUAGGUCAUUACAUUGUUUUUUUAAGGGCGAACUGUUUCUAGAAGAUUCUCUCAAAGGUAAGCUGUAUGGUAAACUCAGUUUUACAAUCUUUAUUUUAAGGAUAAAGCCAUCUGAGUAAUUAAACUAAAUUUUCCUGAUGUUCUUUUUAUCCUGAUUUUUUUUUUUUCAAGUAAGCCCUAUGCCCACUGUGAGGCUUGAACUCAUGACCCCAAGAUGAAGAGUUGCAUGCUCUAUGGGCUGAGGCAGUCAGACACCCCUGGAUCCCUCAUUCUGAUUUUCAAUCUGAUUUUCAGAAGACCAGCCUGGACACAAGCUUAUGGAAACCAUGAUGUACUUUUUGCUACUCCUGAGUGGCUGAGAGGGAAAAGAUAGAUAUAUUUUUGGCAAAGCACCUGUGAAAUGAGGGUUGUUGUUUUCCAUUUUGGCUCAGCAGAUAUCAUAUGCUCUAAUAAUUGAUGAAGGUAUUUUUUGUUGUUGCUGUUUUUUGACAAUUGUUUUCAUUUCACCUCUAUUAUUGGCAAUUUUUUUCUUGAUCCCGGAACUCAGUAAUUUGUCAUUAACUCACAACAUGAAAGGAAUAUACUGAAAAGAUUAUUGCUUCUCCAGCAAAGACUCACACUUGUUGGUGAGAUCAGUGUUGAGCAUGCUGUGGUUAUCUAACUAAUAUUUGAAUAAAAAAAGCUUUGAGGUCAUUGAUAUUGAUGAUUUUCACGGGACCUUCAUUGAAGUUGUGAAAUUUAUCUUUUCACCUGUAAAAAAACUGCUCUCACAUGACCAUAUUUCCCAUGACUUCUAAACUCUUACUUUCAACUCCAGCUGAGAAAAUUGACUUUCUCUCCCAGUCCCAUUUUAGCGCAGUUACACAUAUGGCCUGCCUUUUCUCAUCAGCUUCAUCACAUUCUGUCUCUUCCUUCUUAUAAACUUUGCUUUUCUCGUUUUAUCCACAGAGCUAUUUCUAGACUAAACCACUGUAAUGCCAGUGAAUCUUUGUGUUUAUUGUUUUACCCUUUCAAUUUAGGCCGUAUGUAACUCUUGUAUGUAUCUUUGCAUAGGUAUAUUUGACUCCCUCUUUGGCUGGAAUACGAAAUUCUGAUAGCAAAAGCAGAUAGUGAUUAACUUUGUGAAUUACCCAUCUGUUUAUUUGUCUAAUAACUAAUUAUGUAAAUGUUGACUUCAGAAGAAAACUGGAGCAUAUGCAAAUACUUGCCUCAACUGGAAUUUAAGGUAGAUUAAUUAUGGAAAAGCAAAUUUUCUUUUUCUUUGCACACUUAAUUUAAACAUGCUUAAACUUUUGCUCAACUCUUAGUUUUCCUUGGGAACAGGAGUAUGAUCAGAAAUAUCAUUAAUGACCUAAGUGUUCUAUGUUGUGGGGUUAUUCAAGUUUGGGUUUUUAUUUUAUUUUUAUUUUUUUUAUUAAAAAAUAUUUUUUUGUAAAUUUUAUUUAUUUAUGAUAGUCACACAGAGAGAGAGAGAGAGAGAGAGAGAGAGAGAGGCAGAGACAUAGGCAGAGAGAGAAGCAGGCUCCAUGCACUGGGAGCCCGACGUGGGAUUCGAUCCGGGUCUCUAGGAUCGCGCCCUGGGCCAAAGGCAGGCGCUAAACCGCUGUGCCACCCAGGGAUCCCAAGUUUGGGUUUUUAGACUGGCCUAUGAAUGUCGAUCUCUUUACAGUUUUCUGAGUAUUUUUGUUCUUCUUUACAUGUUCUGCUUCUUUUAAACUAUUCCUCGACAUAAGAUAGUUACGCACAUAAAAUUCAUUUAGCAAAUUUUGGGACUAAAUCAGAGCCUUUGAGAGAGAAGACAUUCUCAAGAGCUUUUGUUUACAUGGUUGCUUUUUACCUUUAUGGGUCUGUUGCAUUUGAACUCUAGGACAGUGUUAAUAAAUUGUCAGGCUGAAUUACCUCAUAUUUGACUUCCUUUUUGGGAGUUUGCAGGUGAUACUAAUGAUCUUUCUCUCCUUGAAAAUGUGUAAUGAAUGUCCUCUGUAUUCUUCAUUGUAACCUUGGGCCGUGAAACCCCCUCUCAGCUGGGCCCCAGUUCUGCAGGCCUGUGCCUGCUUGGCCUGUUAUUACUCCAUGAAUCAUUGCUGGCCUUAUUAAACUAUUUUGGGCUGCAGGCUUUCCAUUCUCCUCCCGUGAACCGUGAAGAUUGGAGCUGCUGCAGCAGCAUAGGCCCAGCGUGGAAUCUGAAUGUGAAGGAAAGAAGUUUCACUGGUUUGGAAUAUAGCAUUCUACCUCAGAGAACAGUAAGGUGUCUGCCCUCUAAGACCCCUUUGUGUCGUGAAAUGUUUUUGUUUUAAAAA